UAGCUCAGUCGGUAGAGCAUUUGACUUUUAAUCAAAGGGUCUGGAGUUCGAAUCUCCA
rnacentral:tRNA from 1 species